CCCAACUCCUGGCAACCACUAAUCUACUUUGUUUCUAUGGAUUUGACUAUUAUGAACAUUUCACAUAAAUAGAAUCUAACAAUGGAAUGUUAGAUUGUGUCUGGCUUCUUUCACUUAGCACAGUAUAUACAAGGUUCACUUAUGUUGUAAACAUGUAUCACUGCUCUCCUUUGUAUUGCCAAAUAAUAUUCCAUUGUGGAGAUGUACCGUAUUAUUUAUCCAUUCAUCAGUUGAAAUGAACAAGUUUCCCACCUUGGAAAAUCUUCACCUAACCCUUCCUAAGUCCUCUACAGCAACAGCUCUGUUUCUUAGCCAAGACUGUGGAAUGAGAGGAAACGUCUAGAAUUAGUGAAAUCCAGAAUCUGAGUGGCAGAGGGCUCUACACCUAGUAGUUACACUAAAUUUUGUAGUUUGUUCCUGAGACAGAGAGAGAUCAACAGUGAUCACACUAAGAUCCCAAUGCAGAAGGAGCAUUCACCUGAUGAUCUGAGGACAAGAGUCGUGUCUCCUAAGAAAAAGGAUACAGCUGUUUCCAUCUGUAAGUGGGGCACUGCUCUACAAGUUGACAACACUACUGUUCACACAGCCAAUUAAAAUUCUUUCCACACUGCUAAUGAAGAGUUCCAGUUGCAGAGUUUUUAAAUUCGGCUAAUUAAAACAAAAAAAAAAAAAAAAAGGAGCAAAACUAUUUAAGCCACAAGUAAGUACCUGACAAAAGAGCAAAAAAAAACACAGAAA